UAACCGAUUGAUCUUCAGUUAGAGUUUAUUUUUCGCAAGUCAAAUGUUUGCAGUUCUGUAUUCCUGCACCAAUCGGUGGGAAAAAAAAUGAACUGCCAAUUUCGAAAUAGCGUUAUUUGAUUACGUAAACACCACUCUCUUGUCUUCUUCCUGCUCGACAAAUUGCCUAGCUGAAGUAAUGAAACAUUCUCAUGAUUAAUUUUAUAUAUCCAGUGCCAAAAUGUAACCACUAAAUAGUAUGAAUAAAUUCUCAUAACCAUGUUUCAUUAACCAUUCCUUGUAUUGUAUAUCAUCUGAUUUUAAUAUUUCAAUCUCUAUCACUCACAAUCUGCUGUCGUUGGAGGAUCCCCGAUGGCAUCUUCCGGAGAAAUCAGCUUUGCUAGGGGGCUGGUAGGAGAUGCCCUUUACCGCGAGUUGCAGAGACUAUUGACUGAUACAAUAAACUUCAGGUGAGAAUUGUGCUUUCUUGAAAAAAAUCUCCGCUCUAUUUUAGUGUUCAAUUGCUUUCUUGAUUAGACCGUGCAUAGUGAUUCGAUGGUUAUGCUUGUCUAUGAUGGAUUCACAUAGCUGGUGUUGAAUGUAGUUAUCAUAAUUUGGUCGUGUAUUGUUGUUGAACAUGCUAUUGAAGGCAUUUUUUUUUCGGGUUUUGAAGAGAGCUUGAAUUUUUUUGA